UACGGAGGGGGCUAGCGUUGUUCGGAAUUACUGGGCGUAAAGCGCACGUAGGCGGCUUUGCAAGUCAGAGGUGAAAGCCCGGGGCUCAACCCCGGAAUUGCCUUUGAGACUGCAUCGCUAGAAUUGUGGAGAGGUAAGUGGAAUUCCGAGUGUAGAGGUGAAAUUCGUAGAUAUUCGGAAGAACACCGGUGGCGAAGGCGGGUCUCUGGGCCGAUACUGACGCUGAGGAGCGAAAGCGUGGGGAGCAAACAGG
rnacentral:rRNA from 1 species